AGGAAAAGAAAAGAAAAGAAAGAAAGGAAGUGAAAUGGGGUGUGCAGCGUCGAAGGGUGUGGAUGUGGCGGCGGUUCCUUAUCGUCCGCCGCCAACGAGCUUGGCGGUGUUCGACAUAAACGCCAUCGAGGAGCCAUGGCUGAAGCACCUGAACGAGAAAACCACACAAGUUCACAAAGACAAAACGCCUCUCCCCGCACCUAUUCUCCACAAACUGGAGAUGCUCGACGCCACCGACGCCCCUCAAUCCUGGGACGAGGUCAGCAAAACUCUACAAGACCUCAAGCCCGUCAUAACCAAACCACCUCCCACGUCACCACCCCAACCACCGCCACAACCUCAACCUCAACCUCCACAAAAAACCAACUCCUUCCACACACUGGAAGAGUUAGACGCCAAUACCAAGCCCAAGCCCAAGCCCGAGGCAGUAAAGCCCGAAACAGCAAAGCCCGCCGCGGUGGUUAACGUGAACGUGGCGCGAGGGAGCAAGUUGAAAGACAACGUGUUCCUAGUGCGGGACAGGUUGGAGAGAGAGAAGGAUGAGAAGGAGUCGACGUUCGAGCGGCUUCGGC
rnacentral:lncRNA from 1 species